rnacentral:rRNA from 1 species
GCUUGUCUCAAAGAUUAAGCCAUGCAUGUGUAAGUUUAAAUAAAUCUAAACUGUGAAACUGCGAAUGGCUCAUUAUAUCAGUUAUAGUUUAUUUGAUAGUACCUUACUACUUGGAUAACCGUAGUAAUUCUAGAGCUAAUACAUGCGCAAAAACCCGACUUCUGGAAGGGUUGUAUUUAUUAGAUGGAAACCAAUGCGGGGCAACCCGGUAUAUGGUGAUUCAUAAUAACUUUCGGAUCGAUCUUCGGAUCGAUGCAUCAUUCAAGUUUCUGCCCUAUCAGCUUUGGAUGGUAGGGUAUUGGCCUACCAUGGCUUUAACGGGUAACGGAGAAUUAGGGUUCGAUUCCGGAGAGGGAGCCUGAGAAAUGGCUACCACAUCCAAGGAAGGCAGCAGG